CAGUCGCCGCGGUAAUACGAAGGGGGCUAGCGUUGCUCGGAAUGACUGGGCGUAAAGGGCGCGUAGGCGGCGAUCAAAGUCAGGCGUAAAAUUCCUGGGCUCAACCUGGGGGCUGCGUUUGAUACUUGAUUGCUAGAGUGGGGAAGAGGGUCGUGGAAUUCCCAGUGUAGAGGUGAAAUUCGUAGAUAUUGGGAAGAACACCGGUGGCGAAGGCGGCGACCUGGUCCUUGACUGACGCUGAGGCGCGAAAGCGUGGGGAGCAAACAGGAUUAGAGACCCGCGUAGUCCCUGUCUCUUAUAC
rnacentral:rRNA from 1 species